GGGGGGAUAGCUGGUAGAGCAUCGGUUUCUUAACUCAAAGGUCGUUGGUUCGACCCCCGGCUUCCCCGG